CUGUGAUAUGUUUUAUAAUGUAUUUCUCUGCCUGUGAUAAUUAUAUUAACCAUUGUGUUCAGUAAUCAUAUCACAGGCAGAGGGGAGGAUUUUGUGUGGGAGUGUCUGUGUGUAUUGUACAGAUUGAUUGGUUGUAUUUCAAAACCCUGUGGGCAGUACUAAGUUUGUGAAUUGUGAAUAAAAGAGGCUGUAUGUGCCAGUACGGCCAGUUCUGCUUGACCUCAAAAUGAAGUGUCGUCUCGUUAUUGGGGGAAUUGUAUGCUGAUUGCCAGGAGUGUAAACUGAUUGUAUGCUUUUCCUGUUCAGCUGUUUACAACAUUCCUAUGCUUGAGAGCAUUCGUAUGCUUCUCCAGUUCGGUGGUUGUGGUGUCUGCUGCAGUGCUUGGAGUCCUCAGGAAGCGCUAGGAGCAUCCUUUAACGAAGGUACCCAGUCGGGGUGCCAGGUGAUCCGUUACAGUUAGCAUACCAAAUUCUGAUCCAG